UUGCGCUGGUUUCUCUUUAAAGCGUAUACGCUUUCCGCAUUUUACUAAAGACUUCCGUGGAGGGGAACACCUAUGAGUUCAACCUAGUUUUGACAGGCUUUGCCGUUUGGCUGAGC